AACGAACGCUGGCGGCAUGCCUAACACAUGCAAGUCGAACGAACCCUUCGGGGUGAGUGGCGCACGGGUGCGUAACGCGUGGGAACCUGCCCUUAGGUUCGGAAUAACAGUGAGAAAUCGCUGCUAAUACCGGAUAAUGUCUUCGGACCAAAGAUUUAUCGCCAAAGGAUGGGCCCGCGUAGGAUUAGCUAGUUGGUGAGGUAAAGGCUCACCAAGGCGACGAUCCUUAGCUGGUCUUAGAGGAUGAUCAGCCACACUGGGACUGAGACACGGCCCAG
rnacentral:rRNA from 1 species